rnacentral:rRNA from 1 species
GAUGAACGCUGGCGGCGUGCCUAACACAUGCAAGUCGAACGGAGUUACUUUAGUGAAGUUUUCGGCUGGAUCUGCUUUAACUUAGUGGCGGACGGGUGAGUAAUGCGUGAGCAACCUGCCCUUCAGAGGGGGACAACAGUUGGACACGACUGCUAAUACCGCAUCAUGUAUCCGGGAGGCAUCUCCUGGAUACCAAAGGAGAAAUCCGCUGAUGGAUGGGCUCACGUCUGAUUAGCUAGUUGGUGAGGUAACGGCUCACCAAGGCUGCGAUCAGUAGCCGGACUGAGAGGUGGAACGGCCACAUUGGGACUGAGAUACGGCCCAGACUCCUACGGGAGGCAGCAGAGGGGAAUAUUGGGCAAUGGGCGAAAGCCUGACCCAGCAACGCCGCGUGAAGGAAGAAGGCCGUCGGGUUGUAAACUUCUUUUAAGAGGGACGAAGAAGUGACGGUACCUCGUGAAUAAGCCACGGCUAACUACGUG